AGGCUCUCGCAACGAUGAAGAACGCCGCGAAAUGCGAUACGUAAUGCGAAU
rnacentral:rRNA from 1 species